rnacentral:lncRNA from 1 species
GUGACUGUAGAGGGUAUCUUGAAGAGUUCAAGGGGCACAGUUCUAGCUAUGGAGCGGGCUUCCUCCAAAAGGAAGUCUUCUUUUAAGAAGAAGAAAAAGUUUGCGAAGAAGUAGAAGAAUGAAGCCAAGCUCAAGAAACAGGUUCCUAAGAAGGCCGAUGAUAAAGAAAAAUAUUUUCAUUGCAACGUCGAAGGCCAUUGGAGGAGGAACUAUCUAGCCUACCUAGCAACUGUCA